CUCUAGCAAAGAUUCAUAUCUUAAAGGUUGCAUAACCUUCCCAAGCACCACCAGCAGCCAGGACCCAUGAGCCUGUGGGGAUACUUCAUGGCCAAUGCAGACCGUGGUUGGCAUCGGUUACUUUUCUGUCUCUGUGACUGGACACCUGACCUCCGGAAACUUAGCAUCAUCAUGACCUAUACGUCCCGUGGAGGACAAGAUGUCCAUGGAAGCCUCUGUGUGUACACACUGGUCUGUGUCACCUUUUACCCUGUUUGAAUGCAGCGUCUGACUCUUUGCCUGUAUAUGCUGGUACUCUCCAAGGACCAAGGACGGGACUGUAAGUCAGUGUUUGAGGAACAAGCAGACAUAUGGAUAGAUAAGUGGAUGAGCUCCCAAAGUGCUGGGUACAUGGGGGAAAAAAAUGAUUGGUGUAGGAUUUUGUUCCCACAGACAGCUUCUGCAAAAAAAAUAACCCACCCUGAGACCUCAAAGGUAAUAGCAAGGAAGUACCAGAAAUUGAAUUUAUUGGAUAUAUAGUAAUGUGUCUCAAAGCAAGGCCCACUGUCUGCAUGAAGUUACGGUAUUAGCAUAUUGCAAUUUCAUAUCAAUAAUAAUUGAGACAUAAUCAAAGCAUAAUGUAGACGAUCCUUUGUUUAUUUUGUUCUGCUUGUAUGUUUUUGUUUUUUAGUGCUUAUCUGUGUUUUAUCUGCCAACGUAUCUGACUUCACAACAUACGCAUGCCUGGCCCAUGUGGAGGAUGGACAGGGACCUGGAUCCCCUGGAACUGAAAUUACAGACAGCUGUGAGCUUCUUCUUGGGAUCUGGGAACUGAACCCAGGUUGUCCGGAAGAGCAGCCAGUGCUCUUAACCACUGAGCCAUCUCUCCAGCACUGCUUUGUCUUGUUUUUGAGACAGGGUCUCCCUAUGUGUCAAUCCUCCUGGCUCAUCCUUCCUAGCUGUGAUGACAGUGGUGUGCCACCUUGCCCUAAGUUAUUACAUUUGAUUUAAUGCUUAGUAAAGGAGUUGAUAAAGAAGAGGAAGGCUGUGUGACUACAAGCCAGUAGUCAAGUUCUUCUGUCCUAUUUUGGGGUCCUGGGAAUCGAACUUAGGUCAUCUGGCUUGGCAGCAAGCUCCUGUACCUGCUGAGCCUCCUUGCCACCUGUCCCUCUUUACAAAUAUCCUAUAUUAUAGACAGGACCUGAUGAAAUGACUUCCCGGUGAAAGGAAACGAUGAAAAUUAUGGGAGUCAAAGAUAAUACUGUAAAAAUUCUCAGCUAAGAACUGAAGAAAAAAGGUCAUAGUUUGAGUAAAAUAAAGACCAAAUAAAGGCAAAAGACCAACCCAGGGAGGAACAGUCCGACAGCUCCAUCCAGCAUCAAUUAAAUCAUUCGUGUAUAUAGAUGCUUUUAUUUCAUUUAAAAGAAACAGAUAAUAUUACCA
ensembl:lincRNA